rnacentral:rRNA from 1 species
GUCUCAGGCCGUAUCAGCCUGAAGGCGCCCGAUCUCGUCUGAUCUCGAAAGCUAAGCAGGGUCGGGCCUGGUUAGGAUCUUGGAUGGGAGACCACCUGGGAAUCCCGGGUGCUCGAGGCU